rnacentral:rRNA from 1 species
CGGUGAAGGCUGACCUCAAAUCCAGGAG